rnacentral:rRNA from 1 species
CCCUUAGAUGUUCUGGGCCGCACGCGCGCUACACUGUUGCAUUCAACAAGCCUAGCCUUGACCGAGAGGUCCGGGUAAUCUUUGAAACUGCAUCGUGAUGGGGCUAGAUUAUUGCAAUUAUUAAUCUUCAACGAGGAAUGCCUAGUAAGCGUGAUUCAUCAAAUCGCGUUGAUUACGUCCCUGCCCUUUGUACACACCGCCCGUCGCUCCUACCGAUUGAAUGUGUUGGUGAGGAGCUCGGAUUGGCAGCAGUUGGUGGUUCGCCACCGGCUAUUGCUGAGAAGUCCUCCAAACCGCCCCAUUUAGAGGAAGGAGAAGUCGUAACA